UGGCGAACGGGUGAGUAAUAUAUCGGAACGUGCCCAGUCGUGGGGGAUAACGCAGCGAAAGCUGUGCUAAUACCGCAUACGAUCUCUGGAUGAAAGCGGGGGACCUUCGGGCCUCGCGCGAUUGGAGCGGCCGAUAUCAGAUUAGCUAGUUGGCGGGGUAAAAGCCCACCAAGGCGACGAUCUGUAGCUGGUCUGAGAGGACGACCAGCCACACUGGGACUGAGACACGGCCCAGACUCCUACGGGAGGCAGCAGUGGGGAAUUUUGGACAAUGGGGGCAACCCUGAUCCAGCAAUGCCGCGUGAGUGAAGAAGGCCUUCGGGUUGUAAAGCUCUUUUGUCAGGGAAGAAACGGUGGGGGCUAAUAUCCUCUGCUAAUGACGGUACCUGAAGAAUAAGCACCGGCUAACUACGUGCCAGCAGCCGCGGUAAUACGUAGGGUGCAAGCGUUAAUCGGAAUUACUGGGCGUAAAGCGUGCGCAGGCGGUUGUGCAAGACAGAUGUGAAAUCCCCGGGCUCAACCUGGGAAUUGCAUUUGU
rnacentral:rRNA from 1 species